rnacentral:ncRNA from 1 species
ACAUACCACUAGGGGAGCCGAAAGGCUGAGAAAGGCGUGUGCCUUGACCCUUUGAACCUGAUCUAGAUCAUACUAGCGUAGGGAAGUGGUGCAGUAAUAUC